CCUUGCCUCACACCGGCCCCUCCCACGCAGACAGAGGUCAGCGUGAGCCCCUUGCCUCACACCGGCCCCUCCCACGCUGAGAGAGGUCAGCCCGAGCCCCUUGUCUCACACCGGCCCCUCCCAUGCUGAGAGAGGUCAGUGUGAGCCCUUGCCUCACACUGGCCCCUCCCACGCUGAGAGAGGUCAGCCCGAGCCCCUUGCCUCACACCGGCCCCUCCCACGCUGAGAGAGGUCAGCCCGAGCCCCUUGUCUCACACCGGCCCCUCCCACGCGGACAGAGGUCAGCGUGAGCCCCUUGCCUCACACCGGCCCCUCCCACGCUGAGAGAGGUCAGCCCGAGCCCCUUGCCUCACACCGGCCCCUCCCACGC
rnacentral:lncRNA from 1 species